rnacentral:rRNA from 1 species
UACGGGGGGGGCAAGCGUUGUUCGGAAUUACUGGGCGUAAAGGCUCGUAGGUGGCCAACUAAGUCAGACGUGAAAUCCCUCGGCUUAACCGGGGAACUGCGUCUGAUACUGGAUGGCUUGAGUUUGGGAGAGGGACGCGGAAUUCCAGGUGUAGCGGUGAAAUGCGUAGAUAUCUGGAGGAACACCGGUGGCGAAGGCGGCGUCCUGGACCAACACUGACACUGAUGAGCGAAAGCCAGGGAGCAAACGGG